CCUACGGGUGGCAGCAGUGGGGAAUUGUUCGCAAUGGGCGCAAGCCUGACGACGCAACGCCGCGUGGAGGAUGAAGGUCUUCGGAUUGUAAACUCCUGUUGACCGGGAAGAAUGGCUCCCGGGUGAAUAACCCGGGGGAGUGACGGUACCGGUUGAGGAAGCCACGGCUAACUCUGUGCCAGCAGCCGCGGUAAUACAGAGGUGGCAAGCGUUGUUCGGAAUUACUGGGCGUAAAGGGCGCGUAGGCGGCCGCCUAAGUCAGACGUGAAAUCCCCCGGCUCAACCUGGGAACUGCGUCUGAUACUGGGUGGCUUGAGUCCGGGAGAGGGAUGCGGAAUUCCAGGUGUAGCGGUGAAAUGCGUAGAUAUCUGGAGGAACACCGGUGGCGAAGGCGGCAUCCUGGACCGGAACUGACGCUGAGGCGCGAAAGCCAGGGGAGC
rnacentral:rRNA from 1 species